UACGAAAGGGGCUAGCGUUGUUCGGAAUUACUGGGCGUAAAGCGCACGUAGGCGGCAUUGUAAGAUGGGGGUGAAAUCCCUGGGCUCAACCCAGGAAUUGCCUUCAUGACUGCAAAGCUCGAGGAUGUGAGAGGAUAGUGGAAUUCCGAGUGUAGAGGUGAAAUUCGUAGAUAUUCGGAAGAACACCAGUGGCGAAGGCGACUGUCUGGCACAUUUCUGACGCUGAGGUGCGAAAGCGUGGGGAGCAAACAGG
rnacentral:rRNA from 1 species